GGAGGUCCGAACCCACGAGCGUUGAAAAGCUCGGGGAUGACUUGUGGGUAGCGGUGAAAUUCCAAUCGAGCCCGGAGAUAGCUGGUUCUCCCCGAAAUAGCUUUAGGGCUAGCCUCAAGGUGAGAGAUACGGAGGUAGAGCACUGAAUGUCCUAGGGGGUAUUGCACCUACCGAAGACUAUCAAACUCCGAAUGCCGUCAUCUUAUACUUGGGAGUCAGACUGUGGGUGAUAAGAUUCAUAGUCGAAAGGGCAACAGCCCAGAUCGUCAGCUAAGGUCCCUAAAUGUAAGUUAAGUGGUAAAGGAUGUGGGAUUGCACAGACAACCAGGAUGUUGGCUUAGAAGCAGCCACUCAUUCAAAGAGUGCGUAAUAGCUCACUGGUCGAGUGAUCCUGCGCCGAAGAUUUCCGGGGAUAAAACUUACUACCGAAGCUACGGCAUCAGUAAUGAUGGGUAGGGGAGCUUCCCAUACGGGUUGAAGCAGGACCGUAAGGACAUGUGGACAGUAUGGGAGUGAGAAUGUUGGCAUGAGUAGCGAGAUGUGGGUGAGAAUCCCACAGGCCGUAAACCCAAGGUUUCCAGGGGAAGGUUCGUCCGCCCUGGGGUAGUCGGGACCUAAGCUGAGGCCGAAAGGCGUAGGUGAUGGACAACAGGUUGAUAUUCCUGUACUACCGAUAACCGUUUGAGAGAUGGGAUGACACAGUAGGAUAAGCUAAGCACACUGUUGGUUAUGUGUGCCCAAGCAUUGAGGCAGUCAAAGUAGGCAAAUCCGCUUUGAUAAUGCUGGGAUGUGAUGGGGAGCGAAAUUUAGUAGCGAA
rnacentral:rRNA from 1 species